rnacentral:rRNA from 1 species
AGUGAACGCUGGCGGUAGGCCUAACACAUGCAAGUCGAACGGCAGCACAGUAAGAGCUUGCUCUUACGGGUGGCGAGUGGCGGACGGGUGAGGAAUACAUCGGAAUCUACUUUUUCGUGGGGGAUAACGUAGGGAAACUUACGCUAAUACCGCAUACGACCUACGGGUGAAAGCAGGGGAUCUUCGGACCUUGCGCGAUUGAAUGAGCCGAUGUCGGAUUAGCUAGUUGGCGGGGUAAAGGCCCACCAAGGCGACGAUCCGUAGCUUGUCUGAGAGGAUGAUCAGCCACACUGGAACUGAGACACGGUCCAGACUCCUACGGGAGGCAGCAGUGGGGAAUAUUGGACAAUGGGCGCAAGCCUGAUCCAGCCAUACCGCGUGGGUGAAGAAGGCCUUCGGGUUGUAAAGCCCUUUUGUUGGGAAAGAAAAGCAGCAGGUUAAUACCCCGCUGUUCUGACGGUACCCAAAGAAUAAGCACCGGCUAACUUCGUG